rnacentral:lncRNA from 1 species
GGCGGGUGUGAGUUUGAUACUUUGAUUCAUGCCGAAGUUUGGUAGACUCUGAUAUGGACCAUGGUGGUGGUCAAUUUUGUCCAUUGAUCCAAGCGUAAGCUUACGCAUGGCUGAUUGCAAGGUGAGCAUACAUAGUUUUUUCCAUGAUCUUUUGAUGAGUGGAUGUUUGUCAAUCAUGUAGAAAGUGUAUACUCAACGAAACAAAAAUGCCAAAGUGACCUUUAGUCCCUUGUUUUAACAAAAAAGUGUAUGAAUGCUUGACUGUGUAUUAUCUGUGUGAAGUAAACUGAUCGACAACUAAAUGAAGUCGCAACAAUUAUUUUCUUGAUAUCACAACCUGUGAAAGAAAAGCGCAGUUAUUCGCCGUUAUUUGGAUACAUAUAGUACACAUAUUAUUAUAGUCUACUAUUGCAAAUUGAUAAUAUGACAUUAUAGUCUACUAAUAUGACAUUAUAGUCUACUAUUAAGAUGAUGAUUGUUCUACUUCUAAAUAUGAAUAUUGAUACUCCUCAAGGGUAUAGUUGUUUCGAAGAUUGAAGAUAGGAUAUCAGAGUUAUAUUCCAAAAGGAAUCGUUUGUCGCUGCAGGACUACUAUUUUGUAAUUCUAUGUAAUGUGUGUUGGUUGUUUACAUUCUUAGUGUUUCAGAGUAUCCAGGUUUUGAAGUAUGGGGCAAACCAAUGUGGCCAUAACAAGUAUGAAACCAACGACACUGUGGUGGCAAUAGGCUUAUAGCCAUUUAUGUUUUGUAGUUAAUCAAUGUACAUGAUGUUAAACUUCUGGAUCUUGUGUUAUUUUUGGAAUAAUCUGAAUCUUAAUUAUUUGCACUAUCCUGGACCGCGAAAAGGGCUCACUAUGUUGUGAAAUACAGCUAUGAACCCACAGUUACUAUGAUGUUGAGGUUUUAGUUGUACGAUAAUCUGGUCCUUCUGAGCAUAUGGCCUGAUGCAAGUUGCAAAUGUGAUAACUAAACAAUAGG